CCGCGCCAGGAACCUAGCCGUCACGUAGAGCGCGGCGUCUCUGACCUGUGUGCGGGUGGGGUAGGAGGCCUAGGCCUGGCCGAUCACCCAGGUCCCAGCAAAGCCGUUGCCGUUUCUCAGCUGGAGAAGGCUCCACUGUAGCUUCCUGGGGUGACGCUGUAGGGAGACAAACAAGCUGCUGGCUGGCGAUCUUUGCACCUGAUCCAGAUGUGGUGGUGGUGGUGUGGUCUACAUGUGUUUCAAACUUGGGAAAGGUUGACAUCUUUGAAUGCUGUGAUAAUGAAUCUUCAUUGUGAACUUGACUAAAUUUGGAGUAACUGAAUACCCAGGCCACCUCUGGGUAUGUGAUGGUGUUUGCAGAGAUGGAAGGGAGAGCUGCUUUGAGUGUGGUUGGCAUCACCCCAUGUGUAAGGACCCUGGAAUGGUGAAACAGGACAAAGGAGAACGUGACAGGAUGCCAGGGCUCACCUCUCUCUGCC